rnacentral:lncRNA from 1 species
UCAAAUCUCCCAUUUCAAGAAACGAACCACCAACUUAUGUUUGAAGAGAAUUGCAAGAAAAGGUUAUUAAAGAAACAAAGUAAUGAGUUCAAAAUAACAGGGGAUUACCUCUGAUUUGGAAAUCUUAGCGAAUGUUGCAACCAUUUGUCGGUUGAAGUUUUUUUCUCAACUUCUCAUGGUGGUGAGGAACCCAACAAUCUAUUUUAAUAUUGCAAAGAAACUAUAAAUCAUCUAAACAUUUUAAGCUAAUUUUGGAAAGAUGAAGAAGAUGCAAACGAAUUCUAGAUUCAGUAAAAAGAUUUAACCUGUGAUUUUUUUUUAUUUGUAGACUAAUAGAACCACCCUAAUGAAAUGUUAGGGAAAAGGAAACAAUGCCAGUCUUAAGUUUUACAUUCCAUCUGCUUCUAAUAACCCCUUAGUUGGUGCACAAAUCACUCAUGGUCCUCAUCCAUCGAGGUUUUACAAUCGACAACUUUGAAAACAGGUGACAACUAAAGUUGCAGUGAGAUGAAAAAAAAUAAGCCUACCGAUAGCAGAAGCUUCAUAAAGAUGGUGGUGAUGGCGGUGUUGAAGAAAUGCUUAACUUCAUCAACGACCGUUAGGAAGAAGAUGGAUGGAGUGGCCACCAAGUUUCUAUCGAUUGGGGUAAAAAGAACAUCACAACAAAUAACCCUCACUCCAACCAUCAUAAAAACAAAAACUAACACUAAAUCAAAAAGACGACCCUGAAUUUCAACCGGAGGAGGCUCAGGAAAAAGGGGUGAAACACCGGGAUGGCUGCAAACACCGGUUGCAAUAUCCGACCGCAAUGCCUUCCGAGUUGCCCCGCCAAAAUACAAACCUCAAUUUCACCCGAUACUCGAUAACACAAAAUCUUUUCAAAAAUAAAACUCAUCAUCGCCUCAAUACUCCCCCUUGUGAAAGAAGUCCUCUAUUUAGAGUCGGCACGACACUAAACAGAGAAAGAUGCUUGAUUGGUUGCAGCUCCUUUUCAGUCUAUUUCCAGCCAACAAAAGCCAUAACAAAUUAUGUUUCCCUUAUUCCACCUCUCUAUUUCUUUCUAUUCCUAAAAAAACAUUGUACAAAAAUAAAGGUUUUGACAAGGUGUAUGAAGUUUUGAACUUUUUAAAUAAAAAAAAUAACCUUAUCAACUGCAUA